UACGAAGGGGGCUAGCGUUGUUCGGAAUUACUGGGCGUAAAGGGCUCGUAGGCGGCCAACUAAGUCAGACGUGAAAUCCCUCGGCUUAACCGGGGAACUGCGUCUGAUACUGGAUGGCUUGAGUGUAGGAGAGGGAUGCGGAAUUCCAGGUGUAGCGGUGAAAUGCGUAGAUAUCUGGAGGAACACCGGUGGCGAAGGCGGCAUCCUGGACUACUACUGACGCUGAGUGAGCGAAAGCCAGGGGAGCAAACGGG
rnacentral:rRNA from 1 species